rnacentral:rRNA from 1 species
GUUGUAUGGUUAAGUGACUAAGCGUACACGGUGGAUGCCUUGGCAGUCAGAGGCGAUGAAAGACGUAGUAACUUGCGAUAAGCCCAGAUUAGGUAGUAACAACCAUUUGAGUCUGGGAUUUCUGAAUGGGGAAACCCACGUGCAUAAGCACGUAUCCUUACCUGAAUACAUAGGGUAAGGAGGCGAACCGGGGGAACUGAAACAUCUAAGUACCCCGAGGAAAAGAAAUCAACCGAGAUUCCGAAAGUAGCGGCGAGCGAAAUUGGACUAGCCCUUAAGCUUUACACGCGUUAGACGAACGGUCUGGAAAGUCCGACGAUACAGGGUGAUAGUCCCGUAGUUGACGACGUGUGUUCAGUGAAAUCGAGUAGGGCGGGACACGUGAUAUCCUGUCUGAAUAUGGGGGGACCAUCCUCCAAGGCUAAAUACUACUGACUGACCGAUAGUGAACCAGUACCGUGAGGGAAAGGCGAAAAGAACCCCUGUGAGGGGAGUGAAAUAGAACCUGAAACCGUGUACGUACAAGCAGUAGGAGCAGGCUUUGUCCUGUGACUGCGUACCUUUUGUAUAAUGGGUCAGCGACUUAUAUUCAGUGGCAAGGUUAACCAUCUAGGGGAGCCGUAGGGAAACCGAGUCUUAACUGGGCGUUCAGUCUCUGGAUAUAGACCCGAAACCAGGUGAUCUAGCCAUGGGCAGGUUGAAGGUUGAGUAACAUCAACUGGAGGACCGAACCGACUAAUGUUGAAAAAUUAGCGGAUGACUUGUGGCUAGGGGUGAAAGGCCAAUCAAACCUGGAGAUAGCUGGUUCUCCCCGAAAGCUAUUUAGGUAGCGCCUCGGACGAAUACUACUGGGGGUAGAGCACUGUUAAGGCUAGGGGGUCAUCCCGACUUACCAACCCUUUGCAAACUCCGAAUACCAGUAAGUACUAUCCGGGAGACACACGGCGGGUGCUAACGUCCGUCGUGGAGAGGGAAACAACCCAGACCGCCAGCUAAGGUCCCAAAUUACUACUAAGUGGGAAACGAUGUGGGAAGGCUCAGACAGCCAGGAUGUUGGCUUAGAAGCAGCCAUCAUUUAAAGAAAGCGUAAUAGCUCACUGGUCGAGUCGGCCUGCGCGGAAGAUGUAACGGGGCUAAGUAGUAAACCGAAGCUGCGGCAAUGUGCUUUUGCACAUUGGGUAGGGGAGCGUUCUGUAAGCGGUUGAAGGUGUGUGGUAACGCAUGCUGGACGUAUCAGAAGUGCGAAUGCUGACAUGAGUAACGAUAAAGGGGGUGAAAAACCUCCUCGCCGGAAGACCAAGGGUUCCUGUCCAACGUUAAUCGGGGCAGGGUAAGUCGACCCCUAAGGCGAGGCCGAAAGGCGUAGUCGAUGGGAAACGGGUUAAUAUUCCCGUACUUCUUACAAUUGCGAUGGGGGGACGGAGAAGGCUAGGUGGGCCUGGCGACGGUUGUCCAGGUUCAAGUGCGUAGGCUUAAGAGUUAGGUAAAUCCGGCUCUUUCUAAGGCUGAGACACGACGUCGAGCUACUACGGUAGUGAAGUCAUUGAUGCCAUGCUUCCAGGAAAAGCCUCUAAGCUUCAGAUUGUAAGGAAUCGUACCCCAAACCGACACAGGUGGUCGGGUAGAGAAUACCAAGGCGCUUGAGAGAACUCGGGUGAAGGAACUAGGCAAAAUGGUACCGUAACUUCGGGAGAAGGUACGCUCUCGACGGUGAAGUCCCUCGCGGAUGGAGCUAUUGAGAGUCGCAGAUACCAGGUGGCUGCAACUGUUUAUUAAAAACACAGCACUGUGCAAAAUCGUAAGAUGACGUAUACGGUGUGACGCCUGCCCGGUGCCGGAAGGUUAAUUGAUGGGGUUAGACUUCGGUCGAAGCUCUUGAUCGAAGCCCCGGUAAACGGCGGCCGUAACUAUAACGGUCCUAAGGUAGCGAAAUUCCUUGUCGGGUAAGUUCCGACCUGCACGAAUGGCGUAAUGAUGGCCACGCUGUCUCCACCCGAGACUCAGUGAAAUUGAAAUCGCUGUGAAGAUGCAGUGUACCCGCGGCUAGACGGAAAGACCCCGUGAACCUUUACUACAGCUUGGCACUGAACAUUGACCCUACAUGUGUAGGAUAGGUGGGAGGCUUUGAAGCACGUACGCCAGUAUGUGUGGAGCCGUCCUUGAAAUACCACCCUUGUAGUGUUGAUGUUCUAACGUCGACCCCUUAUCGGGGUUGCGGACAGUGCCUGGUGGGUAGUUUGACUGGGGCGGUCUCCUCCCAAAGAGUAACGGAGGAGCACGAAGGUGGGCUAAUCACGGUUGGACAUCGUGAGGUUAGUGCAAUGGCAUAAGCCCGCUUGACUGCGAGAAUGACAAUUCGAGCAGGUGCGAAAGCAGGUCAUAGUGAUCCGGUGGUUCUGAAUGGAAGGGCCAUCGCUCAACGGAUAAAAGGUACUCCGGGGAUAACAGGCUGAUACCGCCCAAGAGUUCAUAUCGACGGCGGUGUUUGGCACCUCGAUGUCGGCUCAUCACAUCCUGGGGCUGAAGUCGGUCCCAAGGGUAUGGCUGUUCGCCAUUUAAAGUGGUACGCGAGCUGGGUUUAGAACGUCGUGAGACAGUUCGGUCCCUAUCUGCCGUGGGCGUUGGAAGAUUGAAGGGGGCUGCUCCUAGUACGAGAGGACCGGAGUGGACGAACCUCUGGUGUUCGGGUUGUGUCGCCAGACGCAUUGCCCGGUAGCUAAGUUCGGAAUCGAUAACCGCUGAAAGCAUCUAAGCGGGAAGCGAGCCCUGAGAUGAGUCUUCCCUGAUACUUUAAGUAUCCUAAAGGGUUGUCGGAGACUACGACGUUGAUAGGUCAGGUGUGUAAGUGCUGUGAGGCAUUGAGCUAACUGAUACUAAUUGCCCGUGAGGCUUAACCAUACAACACCCAAGGGGUUU